AGGUACUCAAAGAUCUAAUAAGUGUGACAUCAACAAUUACUUCUUGCUAACAACCCUUGUAAUUUAACCCCUUCAGGUGAGCAGGCUGAUUGAUGAAUUGCAGACAGCUAUCAAAAGUAACAGAGGUCAUCUCUCUAAACUUGGCCCCCAAUUACAGGCUGAGCAGGAGCAAUUCUCCUCUUAUGUCUACCAACACAUUAAAAGCCUUCCAGCAAACACUCUUAUCCCAGGAGACCUGCAGCUCAAGAUAUUUGAAAAUGGUAAAGAUACUGGAGAGAUCUCUGUUUGCAUCAGCAUAAAAGACCUGGAGUCUAAUAGCCCAACUCAAACUGGUGAUAUGAUGGAAAAAUUACUUCUCAGGAUUCAUCAAAGGCUUCAAGGAUCUCCCAUCAACCCACCAGGCCUCAAUUUUUCUUCAAUACGGCUUUUUGAUGAGCACGGUCAAGAAAUUAGGAAUCCACUUUUGCUGAAGAAUGAGCAAAAAAUUUGGGUCUCUUAUGGUAAAGCAUACAGGUAGGAGCAAGGUGUUUAUUCUCUGUCUGUCCUCAAU